AUUGAACGCUGGCGGCAGGCCUAACACAUGCAAGUCGAGCGGAUGAGGGGAGCUUGCUCCCUGAUUUAGCGGCGGACGGGUGAGUAAUGUAUAGGGAGCUGCCCGAUAGAGGGGGAUACCAGUUGGAAACGACUGUUAAUACCGCAUAAUGUCUACGGACCAAAGUGUGGGACCUUCGGGCCACAUGCUAUCGGAUGCACCUAUAUGGGAUUAGCUAGUUGGUGGGGUAACGGCUCACCAAGGCGACGAUCCCUAGCUGGUUUGAGCGGAUGAUCAGCCACACUGGAAAUGAGACACGGUCCAGACUCCUACGGGAGGCAGCAGUGGGGAAUAUUGGACAAUGGGCGCAAGCCUGAUCCAGCCAUGCCGCGUGUGUGAAGAAGGCCUUCGGGUUGUAAAGCACUUUCAGCGAGGAGGAAGGGAUGUAUGUUAAUAGCAUGCAUUUUUGACGCUACUCGCAGAAGAAGCACCGGCUAACUCUGUGCCAGCCGCCGCAGUAACAC
rnacentral:rRNA from 1 species